GACGAACGCUGGCGGCGUGCCUAAUACAUGCAAGUCGAGCGAAGUUUUUCUGGUGCUUGCACUAGAAAAACUUAGCGGCGAACGGGUGAGUAACACGUAAAGAACCUGCCUCAUAGACUGGGACAACUAUUGGAAACGAUAGCUAAUACCGGAUAACAGUAUUUCUCGCAUGAGAGAUAUUUAAAAGUUGGUUAUGCUAACACUAUGAGAUGGCUUUGCGGUGCAUUAGCUAGUUGGUGGGGUAAAGGCCCACCAAGGCGACGAUGCAUAGCCGACCUGAGGGGGGUAACCGCCAAACCGGGAACUGAGAACGGGCCAGGACCCUAAGGGGGGCAAGAGGAAGGAAACCUCCGGAAAGGGCGGAAAGCUUGCGGAGGAAAGGCGGGGGGGUUGAAGAAGAAUUCCGUUCGGUAAGCUCUGUUGUUAGGGAAGAAUGGAUAUGUAGUAACUAUACAUGUAAGAGACGGUACCUAACCAGAAAGCCACGGCUAACUACGUG
rnacentral:rRNA from 1 species